GUGGAGUCUGGUGGGGAUGAUACUGUGCAGGAUGCAGAUGAUGUUCAGUCUGAUGGUGACGAUGUUCAGGGGGAGGAUGAUCCGAGUGAGAUUCAUAUCAUUGACGGUAGAUAUUAUAUUUGGCCCGCUGGAAAUUCGUUUGGGCCGAGUCGGACUGCUGCCAGGUGUGUGUACUAUGUGAUUCAGCACAUGUAUAAAGAAGCUUGGACGACUUUUGGAGAUGUUACAAAUAAAGAUGCUUGGUUUAAUUGCUUUAAGGAAAAGUGUACGUGGGAUCCAAUGAGCGAGAAACUUGUUAAAAAAAAUUAUUUCAGCAGAACAUCAAAAAGACUUUCUGACACGUUGCGAAAUGUUAGAAAGCGUUGGGAACGUGAUGGUAGUCGUCCU